UACGUAGGGGGCAAGCGUUGUCCGGAUUUACUGGGCGUAAAGAGCGCGCAGGCGGCUGGUCAAGUCCGAUGUGAAAGCUCCCGGCUUAACUGGGAAAUUGCAUCGGAAACUGAUCGGCUGGAAGGUGGGAGAGGGUAGCGGAAUUCCCGGUGUAGUGGUGAAAUGCGUAGAUAUCGGGAGGAACACCGGUGGCGAAGGCGGCAUCCUGGACCAACACUGACGCUGAGGAGCGAAAGCCAGGGGAGCAAACGGG
rnacentral:rRNA from 1 species